rnacentral:rRNA from 1 species
AACGAACGCUGGCGGCGUGCCUAACACAUGCAAGUCGUGCGAGAAAGUUCCUUCGGGAGCGAGUAAAGCGGCGCACGGGUGAGUAACACGUAGGUAACCUGCCCCCCAGUCUGGAACAACUAGAGGAAACUCUAGCUAAUGCCGGAUGAGACCACGAUCCCUUCGGGGGUUGCGGCCAAAGAUGGCCUCUACUUGUAAGCUAUCGCUGAGGGAUGGGCCUGCGGGCCAUUAGCUUGUUGGUGAGGUAACGGCUCACCAAGGCUGUGAUGGCUAGCUGGUCUGAGAGGAUGACCAGCCACACUGGGACUGAGACACGGCCCAGACUCCUACGGGAGCAGCAGUGGGAAUAUUGCGCAAAUGGGCGAAAGCCUGACGCAGCGACGCCGCGUGGGUGAUGAAGGCCUGGUC